CUUGGCAGUAUGGGAUCUCCUUAAAGAUGUGGUCUUCACUUUGUAAACCCUCCCGUCUGGUCGCCCGGAGCGACAGGUGGCAUUGUUCCCACAGAGACAGUUGCCGUGAUGUGGCACGCUCCUGAGGGCGUAACCUGUGCGUACAGACGCGGACACACCAGCCUCUUUGCUAAGCUGCUUCCUGUGUGUGUGUGUGUGUGUGUGUGUGUGUGUGUGUGUGUUGCUGCCAGACAGGCGGUGUCGCGUCAGGAAGCGCUCCGUCUCUCUUCAGGUCACGUUGCUGCAGCUCUUCAGGCAGCCAGGUGUUGAACUCUUGAAGUUUCUCACGUGAAGCAGACGCUUGCUGCUGCUACCGUCUAGUCUGAAGAGAACCGCCCAAAAGUGUUUUUACUGUGACCUUCGGGGGGAUAAGGAUUCAGAGGAGCCAGCAGAGCAGACGGGGUCUUUCCUGAACUUCAAAUCCAUUCACUUUGGAAGCCAUUCAAAUAUUUUAAUAGCUGAGGUUUGAAAACUCAUCAUUUCUUUUCAACCCCUCUGCUGUCAGUUGCUGCUUCAUGUGUAGUAGGGGGAGGUACAUCAUAUUAUGUGACCGUCAUCGAAAAUAAAGCUCAAAAAUAUAAUUUAUUUCCAAAAUGUUCAAUUUGUACUCCUGUAGAGGUGGAUUUUCACUAUUUCCUCCUCUAGUUACAUUCUUAAAGGGGCGGUAUCGUGUAGAAUUGACUUUUGUAAUCGCGUUACAUCAUGUUAUAAUGUUAUUCAAUCAUCGUAAUAACAUCUGGAGUGUUGCUUUGAUUCUUUCAUGCAUGUUUGAGAAAUCCUUUAAUCUCCAUAACACCUUUAAUCAGAUGAGCAAAACGCCCAGUUGGACCUAGCUCCGCCUUCGAGGACGAAGCUCCUCCACAGUCGCCGAUGUUCUGCCUCAAAGAGCAUCCCUCCCCCCGCGACUCCCCCACUCGGCUCCUUCAGACUAGCCAGCAGCAAUUAGCAGACACCUGGUGGAACUGCUCACCUUCUGAGCUCAUUAUCAGCUACUUCUCAAUUAAAUGCUCUUAAGAACGCUGUAAAAGGCUUAAUGGAGUAACGGUGUUGUGAUGACUCCCUGAAGGCGUAGUGUCGGAAAGAGCAGGAGCUUCUUAAAGAGACAGAGGCCAAAUUUCAAGGCGUUAAAUUCAAAGUCAAAUUUCUUUUGAGUCAUGUUUGGUAUUAUAUGCCAUGUAGGAUAUAUUUUUAUAACAACUGAAGGUAACAUAGUUUCUUAGUUGUGCUACAAAAUGAUUCUAUGUGCAUAAUACUGCCCUUUUAAAUCUGCUUCAGUCAGUACAAGUGAAGCUUUAUACUGGGACCUCAACGUGAAAAAAUAUAUAUUGUUCAUGUAAUUGGCUGUGUUUCCAUUUAAAGAAGCUAAAGAUAAGAAAACUUUAAUGAUGGGGUUGAAUUUGUGCUUCAUUUAUCAAGUUUGGUUUAGAUAUUACAGACUGGAGAGUCUCACCAGAGGAAGACAGCAUCAACUCUCCUUUCAUAUUUUCACACAUCGCCUAUAUUCGAAAAAAAAUGAGAUGAGUCCAACAUAGAUUUCUUUUAAUUUGUUCAAAUUUUACUCUGUCUUUCAAGCAUUGAUCAGAGUCGCUGUGGAGGAGCCUCACAGAUCCACAGCCAACGUUGAACAAUCUGUCUGCCGGUUUACACUCCACAAAUCUGGAAUUUCUACGAGAAAAAAGUUGGAAAAAAAAAGUCCUGCUUGCAACAUUUAAACACCUGUUGAUACGUACAAAGAGGUGGCAUAGAUUUAUAACAGUAAGAAAAGUGAAAACCAUGUUAUUUUUUCUUGUACUUCUCAAUGGCGCUCACGUGUUGAUCUGUUAUACAUCAUUGCAGUAAAAUAGGUUAAAGAUUGUUGUUUCAAUGUGACAAAAUGUAAAAAAAAUAAAAAAAACAAUUAAAGUUUUCCAAAUGUCAGAGAGCUAACACUGAUUUCGGCUCCUAAAAUAAAAAGUCACGCCUCUUUGUCUUGUCUUUCCGUCAUUAAAAACGGGCGUGGUGCAACCUUUGUGUUUUCAUUAAUCUGGUCCGUGUUGAAAAUCCAGUGACUUUCCUCUGACCUUUGACCUGCUGCCACCAGCUUUGUUGACGUUGUGAAAUGAUAUCCAGAAAAAAAAAAAAAAAGUGUUUGUUUUGAAAAUCUCCAGGACUCCCCCUGUGCGCUUCCUGUGUCCGACUUCCUACCUGGUUAAUCUGCUGUCUGCAGGCAAAGAAAACAAAGGCGUCCCUGGUCCAGAGAAAGAGGACGGGCAAGCCAGAAGGAAAGGAGGGGAAAGCAAAAAAAGCCGAGGACAAUAGUCAUUCUGUCCCCAGAGAGGGCCUCCAGCCAUACUUCUGCCAGAGACAGGAAGUCCAGCAUAAUGUUUGCCAAACCGGAGGCUACGAGGGGUUCCCUAAAGGAAACCUGAGACAGCGGGACACCGGAUCACAGAAGGGACCCGGGCCCCCCUUUCUGCAUGUGCAGGUACAAUGGAACCUGCUGCUCCGAGGACCAUUCAUCACCGGCGAGGGACACGGACCCACUGUGUGUACAGUGACAUCACUGAACAGUAAAAUAUGUCCUAUAAUGCGCUUUCCCGAAGACGUAGGAAAAGUAGAGGUCACAUCUUCUUCCAUCGUAAAGCACGAUGAGCGACAGGGUGGAACAUGAGACCGCCUUAUGGAUACAUGAAAAAAAGUUUCAAUUCAGAAGUUGCUUUGAGUUAAAAAAAACAAAAACAAACAACAAAAAAAAAACACCAACAACUUUGGAGCAUUUGAUGUUUAUGAUGUUUAAAUGUAAAUUAAGUUUUGAACAAAUUAGUGAUAUUUUUUUUUAAUGACAGAGUAUUAGGAAAACGCUAAGAAAAUGAAAAUAAGA